rfam:Gossypium hirsutum cultivar TM-1 chromosome 10, whole genome shotgun sequence
UGUUUAAAAAAUCAUCCAUUUGUUUUGUUAAAAACUAGUGUGGUUAACGGAAUAACUAGAUAGUGACAUGGCGUGUCAUAUGUAUCUCAUGUUGAUGUAUAAGGACCAAUUUUUUAAUAAUAGAAAUAGAUAUAAUUUUUAACA